rnacentral:rRNA from 1 species
GACGAACGCUGGCGGCGUGCUUAACACAUGCAAGUCGAACGGAAAGGCCCUGCUUGCAGGGUACUCGAGUGGCGAACGGGUGAGUAACACGUGGGUGAUCUGCCCUGCACUUCGGGAUAAGCUUGGGAAACUGGGUCUAAUACCGGAUAGGAGCCAUCUUUAGUGUGGUGGUUGGAAAGUUUUUUCGGUGUAGGAUGAGCUCGCGGCCUAUCAGCUUGUUGGUGGGGUAAUGGCCUACCAAGGCGGCGACGGGUAGCCGGCCUGAGGGGGUGUACGGCCACAUUGGUACUGAGAUACGGCCCAGACUCCUACGGGAGGCAGCAGUGGGGAAUAUUGCACAAUGGGCGCAAGCCUGAUGCAGCGACGCCGCGUGGGGGAUGAAGGCCUUCGGGUUGUAAACUCCUUUCGCUAGGGACGAAGCUUUUUUGUGACGGUACCUAGAUAAGAAGCACCGGCUAACUACGUG